AGUGAACGCUGGCGGUAGGCCUAACACAUGCAAGUCGAACGGCAGCACCGUAAGAGCUUGCUCUUCCGGGUGGCGAGUGGCGGACGGGAGAGGAAUAUAUCGGACUCUACUUUUUCGUGGGGCUUAACGUAGGUAAACUUACUCUAAUACAGCAUACGCCCUACGGGUGAAAGCAUGGGAUCUUCGGACCUUGCGCGAAUGAAUUCGCCGAUGUGGGACUUGCUAGUUGGCGGGGUAAAGGCCAACUAAGUCGACGAUCCGUAGCCGGUCGGAGAGGAUGAUAGGCGACACUGGAGCGGGGACACGCACCAGGCGCCUGCGAGAGGGAGCAGUGGGGAAUAGUGGACAAUGGGCGCAAGCCUGGUCCAGCCAUACCGCGUCGGUGAAGAAGGCCUUCGGGUUGGAAAGCCCUUUUGUUGGGAAAGAAAAGCAGCCGGUUAAUACCCCGCUGGUCUGACGGUACCCAAAGAAUAAGCACCGGCUAACUUCGUG
rnacentral:rRNA from 1 species